GACGUAGGGCGCGAGCGUUGUCCGGAUUUAUUGGGCGUAAAGAGCGUGUAGGCGGCCGUACAGGUCAGCUGUGAAAACUCGAGGCUCAACCUCGAGACGUCGGUUGAAACCGUACGGCUAGAGUCCGGAAGAGGAGAGUGGAAUUCCCGGUGUAGCGGUGAAAUGCGCAGAUAUCGGGAAGAACACCCGUGGCGAAGGCGGCUCUCUGGGACGGUACUGACGCUGAGACGCGAAAGCGUGGGGAGCGAACAGG
rnacentral:rRNA from 1 species